rnacentral:rRNA from 1 species
CUCUUCUUGAAUAUAAUUUGAUGUAUGGCCUGCCCACUGAAUAUUAAAGGGCCGCGGUAUUUUGACCGUGCAAAGGUAGCAUAAUCAUUAGUCUUUUAAUUGUGGACUGGAAUGAAUGGUUUGACGAGGUGUUAACUGUCUUUAAUUUUUUUUUAUUGAAUUUAAAUUUUAGGUUAAAAUGCCUAAAUGUUUUUUUGGGACGAGAAGACCCUAUAGAGUUUUAUAUAUUUUUAAUUUUUUUGUAUGAUAAAUUUUAAUUUAAAAAUUUAUUUUGUUGGGGUGAUGAGAAGAUUGAAUUAACUCUUUUUUAUUUUUUAUAUUUAUUCAUAUGUAUUGAUCCAUUUUUAUUGAUUAUAAGACUAAAUUACC